rnacentral:rRNA from 1 species
GACGAACGCUGGCGGCGUGCUUAACACAUGCAAGUCGAACGGAAAGGCCUGCUUUCCCUUGUGGAUUGCGGGUACUCGAGUGGCGAACGGGUGAGUAACACGUGAGUGAUCUGCCCCCAACUUGGGUAUAAGCCUGGGAAACUGGGUCUAAUUCCCGAUAGGACUGCAGGGUGGUGCCUGUGGUGGAAAACGAUUGUCUAGUGGUUGGGGAUGAGCUCGCGGCCUAUCAGCUUGUUGGUGGGGUAAUGGCCUACCAAGGCGGCGACGGGUAGCCGGCCUGGGAGGGUGGACGGCCCCAUUGGGACUGAGAUACGGCCCAGACUCCUACGGGCGGCAGCAGUGGGGAGUAUUGGACCAUGGGCGGAAGCCUGAUGCAGCGCCGCCGCGUGGGGGAUGACGGCCUUCGGGUUGUAAUCUCCUUUCGACCGCGAGGAAGCCACCUGGUUGGAAGGGUGGUGACGGUAGUGGUAGAAGAAGCACCGGCUAACUACGUG